UGGGGAAUAUUGCACAAUGGGCGCAAGCCUGAUGCAGCCAUGCCGCGUGUAUGAAGAAGGCCUUCGGGUUGUAAAGUACUUUCAGCGAGGAGGAAGGAGUUGUGGUUAAUAACCGCAGCGAUUGACGUUACUCGCAGAAGAAGCACCGGCUAACUCCGUGCCAGCAGCCGCGGUAAUACGGAGGGUGCAAGCGUUAAUCGGAAUUACUGGGUGUAAAGCGCACGCAGGCGGUCUGUCAAGUCGGAUGUGAAAUCCCCGGGCUCAACCUGGGAACUGCAUCCGAAACUGGCAGGCUAGAGUCUUGUAGAGGGGGGUAGAAUUCCAGGUGUAGCGGUGAAAUGCGUAGAGAUCUGGAGGAAUACCGGUGGCGAAGGCGGCCCCCUGGACAAAGACUGACGCUCAGGUGCGAAAGCGUGGGGAGCAAACA
rnacentral:rRNA from 1 species